UCCAGCCAAAAAAGUCGAAUUUAUGCUGUCUGGGGGUCCAACUCGUCGAGUGCAUGAACCAACACGGUGAUUUGGAUCGAUUUGAUCACUUUUUAGGCAUGGACUCGCCGAGUCUGAUGAUCAGACAGCAACAACUUCGAUUUUUUAAGCAGUUUUCCAUGUAUAACAAGAAAACAAGCCUAGGCACUAAUACCACUGUUGGGUUAUGAGCAUUCUAACACUCCUAAGUGUACAUGCAACCUUAAAUACCUNCCUAGGCUCUGAUACCACUGUUGGGUUUUGAGCAUUCUAACACUCCUAAGUGUACAUGCAACCCUAAAUACCUUGGAUCUAUGUUUUCUCUAUUAUACAUGCAAAUAAGAACUUCCAAGGUAUUAUCCUAAUCUAGCAUACAAAAACAAUGAAUGUAACAAGAUAGAAUACAUACCUCUUUGAUGUAGAAAGUCUUCAUGAAGCUUGAGUGCCUAGUGCCCCAAGUGUGACACCUCAAAUGGUUCACACAACACCAAGUACACAUGGAAUAACUUGAGAGAAAUCUACACUUCAUGAAAUCGGCUAGCCCUUCUAUUACUC
rnacentral:lncRNA from 1 species